CGGCGCGUGGUCGGCUGUGCUGUCAUUGGCUCCUCAGACUCUCCAGUUCCUUCCCUGGCGCUCACUUCUGGAAGAAGGGGUUGGGCAUGUUGUGAUAAUGUCCAGGGUCAGAAGGUGAAGGGAGACUGAGUUCAUCACCAAGUGGACAGAGAGAUGUACUUCCUCCCUCCCAGACUUCCUCAGAAGCCUGCGUUAGCGUUAGCUUUAGCUUUAGCUUUAGCUUUAGCUCCUCGCCUGUUGGCUCCUUUGUCCGGUUUCUCCAGAAUCAUCUCAGUCUUUGCUCUAGACUCAGCUUCACCUUUAGUUACACUCACAGAGAUACACGCUACAGCAACUUCCAUACUAUAAUCACAUACUGCGACAUACAUGAUAUGAUUACGUGAUAGAAGUGUUCCAAUAGCAGAGAGCACAGCGACCAACUUUCCUCCAACCCAAGGUUAUCGGACUCUCUGAGCUGCGUUCGGGAAAACAGACCAGGAAUUCCUUCCAAGGAAGUCGUAAAGAAGACACGAGGAACCGGACGCUCACGUCAACAGCUGAACCACUGGCAGCUACAGUCACGUUCACCUCACUGGAUAACACAGCACCCUGCACCGUUCAGCCUGCUAUGAUGCGAGUGUGACCCCAUAAAAGUGGGCUGAGGUUCAGCAGAAGCGAAGGGACCCUCACGCGUCCAGGAACAAUCACACGCGUGCAGACGACAGGUGACAGCGUGAGGACAGACGCCUGCACACAAACACACACAUCAACAUGGGCCCCAGAUGAUCGUCAGGACUGUUACUCUGGCCCCCUUCAGGCCUCCGUGCACCACCCGCGUACAGUGUGCGUCAGACGUUUAGGUCCAACGGGUCGUCCUCGUCAGCAACAACUGAGAAACCACCCGUUUUCUCCACUUUUCCCAAGGAUAUUUCAUACAAGGCCGCUGUAAUUAUAACAUGACCUCGGUCUUGUCUUUUCAUGUUCACAGCGCUGGGAACAGUCACACCAGAUAAGAGUUUCGUGUGAAAUCCAUGACAUGGAGUGAUAAAAAAAAAGAGAUUCAGUUCUGCUUUACUGCUGAAAGGAAAAACAAAACUUCAUACUCGAUCUUGCCAGAGAAAUGCCUCUGCUUCAUAAUCCCCCUGUACCUCCAGGCUUUCAUUAUCACAGCACGGCUUAAAGAAUGUGCAGAGGACGUCUCAGAAACAGAGCGAGUCCGCGGGAACGUGGCGCUUUCAUCUGCGGCCGAACCCUCGCUGGAAUGCUCCUCAGCUGGCACAGCAUGACAUUCAGCGCAUGCAGCGGGCGCUGAGGUCAAGCGUUUCCAUCAUGGCCACCGUGACGUCGCUCCGUGUGAGUCAGUGGCUGACCAGCGUGUACCAGCGCAGUCACGUGAGUCGGGGCCCAACACGUGGCCAUCGUUCAGUCCAUGGGGCUGAACAGAGACGAGGACCCCGAAGGACCUCAGCUUGAGAAACAAACCAGUUCAUAGUGAGAGACGUUCCACUGCGCAGCGCAGGUCCUCGUUCCUGUUUAAAUGGAAAGACCUCCGAGAAUAAACACAACUCGGGGGUUUCGUGCCAACUGUCAGCGUGAGUGGAGUUCCCCUUGGUUUUGAAAUCGUUCCUAGGAGCGCGUUCGAUGGAGUGAUUUAUAGAUGCAGGCAUAAAUUAGACUUUACAGCCACAGAUGUAAGUGUGUGUUGAAUAUUGUCACAAAUGCAGGUUGUGUGAAUAUUCUGGUCAAGUAGUGUGUAAUGAAGAAACAUGCGCUUGGUUUUCCAUAAACUGGUAUUAGUCACAUCUACUAGAACAGGCUUUUCAACCAUACGUUUGGUUUUAUCAUUAGCUACUAUUAUAAAUGUCUUCAUAAUUACUGUGUGUGGGUGGGGCGUCAUCUCUGCGACCCACGGGUGGAGGCACCUUGUUUAGAGCCGCAGUCUUUCUCGUUUUUCACCCACACCCUUCUUCACUUUAGUUUAGUUUUAUUUAUUACUCCAUUUUAUACCAUGCAGUUCCUGAACAAAUUAUUAAAGUAGAAAUGUUUUUCAUUUUCUCCCCAUUUGUAAAUUGCAUCUGAGUUUGGACUUAGCUGUUAAACAGCGAGGCAGGGAAGGAGUUACACUUCUCCAAGUCUAUGAAAGUCAAAUGAGUCACUAAACCAAAACUGGGUGGCGUGAUGUUAGAGCGGAGGCAUGACAACACUAAGUGGUGUAUGGAUGGAGAAAAUAGGUCAGUUCUGCAAUGAGAUUCACACAGAUGAAGAUAAUUAAAGCAGCCCGUGGAUUAAAAGCUUCUCUGAUGCAUUCCUUCUGCUCGGCAUCAGGUUACAGAACCAUAACGAUACUCAGUCAUGACAUUCCUCUGUAACUAACUGUUCAGAUAUUUCACUGAUGGUUUGGGUGACAAGGUUCUGUUAUCUGGGGUUUCUGAGGAAAAGGAUCCAGGAAAAGCGCUUCAACAGGAAGCUCGUAGCUCAGAUACAGUACGAGCGAAUGCAAGGCUGACUGCAGUUCAGGAAUGUCUGUGGCUUUUUCUGAACCUUUUACAUUACAGACACAUUUUCCAAAGGAUAGUCGGACCACUAAGCAUCCAACAAAUGCAACUUUGCAUAUUCUUCUCACCAAAUUGUAUUGAAGCUGUAGCCAUGACAGCUGAAAAGGCCUAAAGAGCAAAAUGAUUUACACUCUUCAGAACCGAUAAACCAGUGGCUUUUAUCCAAGCACUUCUACAUGUUGCUUGAGGUUUGACUCCUUCACAUGACGAUGUUUGUGCAUGGGGAGCUUCUCUGCCUCCAGCGGAGUGAGGGUAAAAACAGGCGAAGGCAUUAUUACAAAUAACAGGUGAAUUUAUUUGUCCAAAAGCUUAUUUACAAUAUGUACAUAGACACACCCCAAUAUGAACCAUGUACACUAACACUCUGCACACAAUGACAUUAAGAACCAUCAGCUGCAGCGUUUCAGUAAUCUCUCAGCACAAAGACCCAUUUAACCUACACAACCACACACACAAUCACACACACUCCAGGAGAAAUGU